AAGCUCGUAGUUGAAUUUCGGGAUUAGUACGUCGGUCGUGCCUUAGGUACGUACUGGUGUUACUGGUUCCUACCUUCUGACGAACCAUCAUGUCAUUAAUUUGGUGUGGUGGGAAUCAGGACUGUUACUUUGAAAAAAUUAGAGUGUUUAAAGCAGGCUCGCGCUUGAAUACAUUAGCAUGGAAUAAUGAAAUAGGACGUUGAUCCUAUUUUGUUGGUUUCUAGGAUUGACGUAAUGAUUAAUAGGGAUAGUUGGG
rnacentral:rRNA from 1 species